AACCACCUCAAAAUACAGGUCCAGCAGGUUGUGUUGCAAAUCACAAUGUCUUUCUACCUUGAAAAUAUUGUUACGGGUCAGAAGGCAAACCACCUCAAAAUACAGGUCCAGCAGGUUGUGUUGCAAAUCACAAUGUCUUUCUACCUUGAAAAUAUAUGCCUGUUAAUAACACCUUUGGGUCCACAACAUUCCGUGCCUCCAUGGUUCAUGUUUUCUUCAUUAACCGUGAACCUGCAGACCAGUGAAUAAAUAACUCAUAAAAAACCUGCACAAGAGUGAUUUAACCAAUUAAUGUUAGAGCCGAUUGCAAUGGUGCAAUAUUGAACAAGGAGAUUAUUGGCAUCACUGCACAGGUAUCAGACAGAGAAAUUUAACAUCACAAAUCAGUUUGUUUUCUUAAAGAAAUUCGCAUAUCAAGUGGAAAUAAGAAGACCGCAAAGCAUUGUUUCUUAAGUCAAGAAGCAGAGUUAUACAUUAGUCGAAUUUUACCGUGGUAAGUAAUUAAUCCAUUUGUUUUACGAUAGUGAAAUCAUGGAGAUAACACCAGGUCUGUGGGACCACUUAAAAGAAUCACCCACCACAGACGCCAAGGAAUUUAGG
rnacentral:lncRNA from 1 species